rnacentral:rRNA from 1 species
GAUGAACGCUAGCUACAGGCUUAACACAUGCAAGUCGAGGGGCAGCAUGGUCUUAGCUUGCUAAGACUGAUGGCGACCGGCGCACGGGUGAGUAACACGUAUCCAACCUGCCGUCUACUCUUGGACAGCCUUCUGAAAGGAAGAUUAAUACAAGAUGGCAUCAUGAGUCCGCAUGUUCACAUGAUUAAAGGUAUUCCGGUAGACGAUGGGGAUGCGUUCCAUUAGAUAGUAGGCGGGGUAACGGCCCACCUAGUCUUCGAUGGAUAGGGGUUCUGAGAGGAAGGUCCCCCACAUUGGAACUGAGACACGGUCCAAACUCCUACGGGAGGCAGCAGUGAGGAAUAUUGGUCAAUGGGCGAGAGCCUGAACCAGCCAAGUAGCGUGAAGGAUGACUGCCCUAUGGGUUGUAAACUUCUUUUAUAAAGGAAUAAAGUCGGGUAUGCAUACCCGUUUGCAUGUACUUUAUGAAUAAGGAUCGGCUAACUCCGUGCCAGCAGCCGCGGUAAUACGGAGGAUCCGAGCGUUAUCCGGAUUUAUUGGGUUUAAAGGGAGCGUAGAUGGAUGUUUAAGUCAGUUGUGAAAGUUUGCGGCUCAACCGUAAAAUUGCAGUUGAUACUGGAUAUCUUGAGUGCAGUUGAGGCAGGCGGAAUUCGUGGUGUAGCGGUGAAAUGCUUAGAUAUCACGAAGAACUCCGAUUGCGAAGGCAGCCUGCUAAGCUGCAACUGACAUUGAGGCUCGAAAGUGUGGGUAUCAAACAGG